rnacentral:lncRNA from 1 species
ACACCACAACACAAUCCUCACUCACAUAGAGUUGAGAGAAAAAUAGAGAGUUCCUCAUAAGAGUGUGAGAGAAAAAUAUAGUGAGCCAAUUUGUGAGAGUUGUAUCUACAAAUUGAGAUACAUAGUUAGGUCCACCUGAGGGUGAAGAUUUGUAUUCCCAUUAUUAUUAUAGUGGAGAUUUAAGAGGCCUACGGGUCCCGUGGUUUUUCCUUACUCACAUUGAGAAGGUUUUCCACGCUAAAAUUUUGUUGUGUCAUUUUACGUUUCCGCUAAAGUGCCUAUUUUGAGUUCACGGAGGAGGGAAAUUAUGCAGGCAUUUCCCAACAGUGGUAUCAGAGCACUCGUUGCUCUGGGACUAUGAGUUUUCGUAUAUGCAAGAUAAUUCUUAAUAUGCUCUGUGGCUGCAACAUUGUUUGAUCUUCCACAUCAGAAAAGAAAUUUCUUGUCGCUAGAAAUAAAGUGAGGUAGUGAUAUAUUGCAUGUCUAGGAGUUCUGGCAAGGAAAGACUUGGUAUUUAAGCGUGUCUAUUGACCCACCUUUCUUACCUGGGAACUUUCAUGGUGCACUAUUCACGAACUCAGAUUUAUUCUAGUAUACGAUACUAGUCACACUUGUUAAAGAAAUUAUUUCCUGUGUAACUCAAGAUGGAGGGUGCAAUCAGCCAUGAUGGUGAUAUGUUCAAGCUAACUGCUGACAAUUACGCAUAUUGGAAGCCAAUGAUGGAAGACCACUUGUAUUGCAAAGACUUUCAUGAGCCAAUCACCCAAAAAGAUAAACCCUACAAGAAGACCGCUACGGAAUGGGAGACGGAGAAUCGAAAAACAGUGGCUAUGAUCCGAAAAUACAUUGAUCGAAGCUUGUUCGAGCAUGUAUCAACUGAUACCAAUGCGUAUGAGUUAUGGACGAAGCUUGAAUCAUUGAUUCAAAAGAACACGCCGAGAAAUAAAGCACACCUUGUUAGAAGACUGGUGAAGUUAGAGUACUCAGACGGUCAAAAGAUGAUCGAAGCUUUAAACACCUUCAAAGGUUUUGUAAUCAGUUGACAAGAAACGAAAUGAAGAUAGAUGACGAGUUGGACACACUUCUUACUCUUAUUUCCUUACCUGACAGUGGGGAAACUUUAGUUGGCACUCCUCGCUAUUCUGGCUCAAAAGGAAAACUUAAAUGGAAUUCAGUCCCUGUCUGUCUGGUAUAUGCAAAAACAAAACGAAAGGAAAAAGCUUGAAACAAUAUGUUCAAACCCACUUAUUUAACAACAAAGAAGGAACAAAAACCUGAAAAAAGGGGGUGGGAAAAUAUAAGGAGGCAAAAAAAGAAUUACCUAAACUAAAUUUGUUUUUACGGGGGAAAAACAGGCCAAUAAAAGGCUUGGGGUGAUUAUUUCUUUAAAAAAAGUUCUGCAGGGGGGUGCAAGAAACCCCUUCCCUUAAAAAAAAUUAGAAUAAAAAAAAAAAAAAAAAGAAAAGAGCGGGGAACCCCACCGCAAACAGCCCUUCUUUCUCCANNNNNNNNNNNNNNNNNNNNNNNNNNNNNNNNNNNNNNNNNNNNNNNNNNCACAAACAUACACAAAGAAAAGAAAGAAAGGGACGACAGGGAGCUGCAUUAUUUUAUUGGAUUUUUUUUGUUUUUGUGGUGUGGAGGGGAGAAAACAAAAACACAACCCCCCUUAUUUUGAGAGAAGAAUACCAAGGAAGAUUUUUUUACCCCCCCCCCCCCCAAAAAAAGAAUUUUUUUUCUUAGGGGGGAAUUAUUAUAAAUUUUUUCUUGAGGGGAAGGGGGGAACCUUCCAAAAACCUUCUGUGGAAAGGUUUAAGGAGCCCCCCAAAAAGGGAAAAAAAGGGUUUUCAAUCCCUUGGAAGAAAGGAAAGAAAAUUCCCCAAAAGGGGAAUGAGAGGUUUGGCCUGGUAAAAUUUUCCCAGAUGGAAAGGAGGGCUUUUAAAAAAUAAAUGGGUUUUCAAACUUCAAUUUUAAAGGGACAACCCAACCCCCAAGUACAAAGCAUGAAUUGGUGUGAAGGGGUGCCCUUCAAAAGAAAGGCAUUGAUUUUGAAAAAAUGUUUUCCCCGGUGGUGAAGAUGACAUCCAUUAGAGCAAUCCUUGGUCUAGCUGCAAAACUAGACUUAGAGAUAGAACAACUUGAUGUUAAAACAGCAUUCUUGCAUGGAGACCUAGAGGAAGAAAUCUAUAUGGAGCAACCUAAAGGUUUCGUUGAACCAGGCAAAGAACACCUUGUGUGUCGCUUGAAGAAAAGUUUAUAUGGCUUAAAGCAGGCUCCAAGACAAUGGUACAAGAAGUUUGAUCUCUUCAUGACCCAACACAACUUCACAAAGACGUCAACAGACCAUUGUGUGUUUGUGAAGAACUAUGAAAAUGGAGAGUCCAUCAUACUUUUAUUGUAUGUUGAUGAUAUGCUUAUUGUUGGAAAAGAUAAGACAAAGAUAUCUGCUCUCAAGAAAGCAUUGAGCAAAUCUUUUGCUAUGAAGGAUUUGGGUGCAGUGAAGAAGAUUCUUGGAAUGAAGAUCAUUAGAGAUCGAUCAAAAAGAAUGUUGUGGAUGUCACAAGAAGAAUAUCUCAAGAAAGUUCUUGAAAGGUUCAACAUGCAUAAUGCAAAACCUGUGCAUGUUCCAUUACCUGGUCAUUUGAAACUCAGUAAGACACAAUGUCCUGAGAAUGAUCAAGAGAAAGAAGAAAUGAGCAAGGUGCCCUAUUCUUCAGCCGUGGGUAGCCUUAUGUACGCCAUGGUCUGCACGAGGCCAGACAUCGGUUAUGCUGUAGGAGUCGUGAGUAGAUUCCUAUCAAAUCCAGGAAAAGAACACUGGAGUGCUGUGAAAUGGAUACUGAGGUAUCUAAAAGGAACUGCCAAAAAGUGCUUAUGUUUUGGCAAUGGAAAUCAAAUGCUCGUUGGAUAUGUAGAUGCUGAUAUGGCCGGAGAUAUAGAUUCAAGAAAAUCUACAUCUGGAUAUUUGAUUACUUUUGCAGGGGGAGCUGUCUCAUGGCAAUCUCGACUACAAAAGUGCGUUGCUUUAAGUACCACAGAAGCAGAGUACAUCGCAAUCACUGAAGGCUGUAAGGAGAUGAUGUGGAUGAAGAAGUUCCUGCAAGAGUUAGGCCAGAAUCAAGAAAUUUAUGUUCUCUAUUGUGAUAGUCAAAGUGCAAUUCACCUCAGCAAGAAUUCGACAUACCAUUCAAGGUCAAAACACAUCGAUGUGAGGUAUCAUUGGAUUCGUGAUGUGUUGGAGAAUAAACUGCUGCAAAUAGAGAAAAUUCACACCAAUGACAACGGAGCAGAUAUGAUGACAAAAGCUCUACCAAAAGAGAAGAUAGAGUUUUGUAAACAAGCUGCAGGCUUGGCAGCAACCCCAAACUAAUCUAAGGAUAGUUUCCCUUUGGCUGGAGGGGGAGAAUUGUUGGUUUCCAGCCACAAUAGUAACAAUAAUGCAUCAAUGGGAAAUGUUGAAUUUUUCUCCACUAGCAUGCCUAUGAAUAAUAGCUUGCGGUGGUAAAAAUUCUACCAUGUCAGUAACAAAUUGACAAACUUGGCAAUUGGUAACUAUUGUCAAAGAUGGUGCAGCAAGGAUUGGAAAAUAAGAACCAAGCAUUUAAUGCACACGGUUCAAAACCCUCUAUAAAUAGAGAAGAGUUUCAGCAAUGAAACACACCACAACACAAUCCUCACUCACAUAGAGUUGAGAGAAAAAUAGAGAGUUCCUCAUAAGAGUGUGAGAGAAAAAUAUAGUGAGCCAAUUUGUGAGAGUUGUAUCUACAAAUUGAGAUACAUAGUUAGGUCCACCUGAGGGUGAAGAUUUGUAUUCCCAUUAUUAUUAUAGUGGAGAUUUAAGAGGCCUACGGGUCCCGUGGUUUUUCCUUACUCACAUUGAGAAGGUUUUCCACGCUAAAAU